GAGUAACACGUAGGUAACCUACCUAUAAGACUGGGAUAACUUCGGGAAACCGGAGCUAAUACCGGAUAAUAUUUCGAACCGCAUGGUUCGAUAGUGAAAGAUGGCUUUGCUAUCACUUAUAGAUGGACCUGCGCCGUAUUAGCUAGUUGGUAAGGUAACGGCUUACCAAGGCAACGAUACGUAGCCGACCUGAGAGGGUGAUCGGCCACACUGGAACUGAGACACGGUCCAGACUCC
rnacentral:rRNA from 1 species